ACGGAGGCAGCAGUGGGGAAUAUUGCACAAUGGGGGAAACCCUGAUGCAGCGACGCCGCGUGAGUGAAGAAGUAUUUCGGUAUGUAAAGCUCUAUCAGCAAGGAAGAAAAUGACGGUACUUGACUAAGAAGCCCCGGCUAACUACGUGCCAGCAGCCGCGGUAAUACGUAGGGGGCAAGCGUUAUCCGGAUUUACUGGGUGUAAAGGGAGCGUAGACGGUAAUGCAAGUCAGAAGUGAAAGCCCAAGGCUCAACCAUGGGACUGCUUUUGAAACUGUAAUACUAGAGUGCAGGAGAGGUAAGUGGAAUUCCUAGUGUAGCGGUGAAAUGCGUAGAUAUUAGGAGGAACACCAGUGGCGAAGGCGGCUUACUGGACUGUAACUGACGUUGAGGCUCGAAAGCGUGGGGAGCAAACAGGAUUAGAUACCCUGGUA
rnacentral:rRNA from 1 species